GGGCCAAGUUCCUUGGAACAGGACGCCCGAGAGGGUGAGAGCCCCGUACGCUCGGGACCCACCGCCGCUGAAAAAGCUCCUUCGACGAGUCGAGUUGUUUGGGAAUGCAGCUCUAAGUGGGAGGUAUAUUUCUUCUAAAGCUAAAUACCGGCCAGAGACCGAUAGCGCACAAGUAGAGUGAUCGAAAGAUGAAAAGCACUUUGGAAAGAGAGUUAAAAAGCACGUGAAAUUGUUGAAAGGGAAGCUCUUGCUGUCAGACUUGUCGGGGUGGUUCAGCCGUCUCUAGGGGCGGUGUACUCCAUCGUUGGCGGGCCAGCAUCAGCUUCGACGGCCGGACAAAGGCCCCGGGAAUGUAGCUCUCUUCGGGGGGUGUUUUAGCCCGGGACGUAAUGCGGCCAGUCGGGGCUGAGGGAUGCGUUUUUCUGCUAGGAUGCUGGCGUAAUGGCAGCAAGCG
rnacentral:rRNA from 1 species